rnacentral:tRNA from 1 species
GAGCCUGUAGCUCAGUCAGGUCAGAGCGCUGCUCUGAUAAGGCAGAAGUCCCCGGUUCGAAUCCGGGCAGGCUCA